AUACGUAGGGUGCGAGCGUUGUCCGGAAUUACUGGGCGUAAAGAGCUCGUAGGUGGUUUGUCGCGUCGUCUGUGAAAUUCCGGGGCUUAACUCCGGGCGUGCAGGCGAUACGGGCAUAACUUGAGUACUGUAGGGGAGACUGGAAUUCCUGGUGUAGCGGUGAAAUGCGCAGAUAUCAGGAGGAACACCGGUGGCGAAGGCGGGUCUCUGGGCAUUAACUGACGCUGAGGAGCGAAAGCAUGGGUAGCGAACAGGAUUAGAUACCCUGGUAUUCCAUGCCGUAAACGGUGGGCGCUAGGUGUAGGGGUCUUCCACGACUUCUGUGCCGUAGCUAACGCAUUAAGCGCCCCGCCUGGGGAGUACGGCCGCAAGGCUAAAACUCAAAGGAAUUGACGGGG
rnacentral:rRNA from 1 species